CUUGAGUAGUAUUAGUUAUGUUCUUGAAACUUAAAAAAUUUGGCGGUAUUUUAGUCUAUUCAGAGGAACCUGUCCUAUAAUCGAUAAUCCACGAUGGACCUAACUUUAGUUUGUAAUUCAGUUUAUAUACCGUCGUUAUCAGAGAAUUCUAUCAGGAAAAUAAUUCUCAAUAAUUUUUAUUAGAAUUUAUAUCAGAUCAAGGUGUAGCUUAUGCUAAAGAAGAGAUGGGUUACAAUAAAAAUAUUUAAAUGGAUUGAUUUAUGAAAAAAAUCAUGAAAGUGGAUUUGAAAGUAAAAUUAUAAAGAUUAAU
rnacentral:rRNA from 1 species